UAUUUGGUUAUAUUUACCAAAUUUAAAUAUAAUCGUUUUCAAAAUUAAAUCCAUAUGUCAAUAUGGCUACUGGGUGUAAAAGAUAAAUCUUAUUCUAUCUGUUCUUAAUGAGUUUUAGAUAAUUUUAGUUGUAUUUCUUUGUAAUUUUGUGUUGUACAAAGAUUAAUUUAACAUUUUCUCUGGAAGUAUUAAUUUAGAAAGAUAAUAUGCUUCAUUGGUGUUGUGUUUUGAAGUGUGAAAUGCAAAGUAAUUGUGAUAAAGUCAAGAUAAAGUUCACUUUUAAACUGAACUAAAUAAGGUAUCUGAGAGACAACAAUGGUUAAAUGCAAUACAAUGUACAGGUUUUACUAGCGAAAUGAAAAUUUUCCUGUCCUGUCUGCUGUAAUCAUUUUAUAUCUGGAAAACCAGCCGACUUAAUCGAUAAUAACAAUCUCCAGAUUGGGUUCCUUCAAUAAAUAUGGUCUAUAAACACAAUGAAAUAAGUUCCCCAAAAUCUAAAAUGAAGUGGUAUCAAAGGAGAAUUAAAGGGAAAAAUAUUCAUAUUGAAAUUAUUUAUAAGGCACUGGACUGUCUUAAAUUCUACAAUAAUACUAGAAUCAGCUGAGAGAAGUGGUCUACAAAAAACCAGGAAGGAAACAGAAUAUGUGGCUACGAAAGGCAAAAGAAAGGUUUACAAAGCAAAUGUGACACAUUUUUUGAAAUAUUUAGGAAUAUCAGUAAAUUGCAUUAAAAAAAUGUAUGAAAAGAUUUUGUUCAAUAAAAAUGUUUAUAUUUAUCAAGGAUGUAUUAUUUGGUAUGGCCACAUAUCGUCAGUGAUGUAAUAAUACAUCCUAUCUGUUUUUUCAUGAGUUUUGUAAGAGAGAC